AAGGUAGGUAGGUACUAAUGACAAAGCGAAAUAUUUGGAGACAAAAAACACACGUUUCUUUAUGAUGUAAAUGACACUUUUACCGUCGAGGAUUCAACUUGCACUAAAUUCGUUUAGACUUAGACUGCCGCGGUGGUGUAAAGCAAGAAGCUUGUAAAAUCGAUCGUUUCAGUUUUACUGACGCGGCAAUAAGCCUCUCGCAUGCAUGCCCCUAAUGUUUGUUUUGAUUUGACCGGAAAAAGUAAAAUAGGUAAAUUGCGUUAAUCGGGUUUGCGGCGCGUGUUCCGAUCCCGAUAUUUUAUUUCGUCUCGGACGGGAGGCUUCUGUUGUCGUUUCAAUACUUCCUUCAACCACUGAACCUUCAACGCCGCGUCGGGAAGGGAUCAACAGCACAUAUUGGCCUUGCGCGUCGUUUCGUUUUGCUUCCGAGUUUUGUUUGAAUUUGAAGUGCUAUUUUCAUGGCGAGUUUUUUCGUAGUGGGGGUACGAUGUUCUAUUGUUUAGUCUCGUGCAAAAUCAAAACGAGUCAGAAUGAAACAACUUAUAUCUACGUGUCCGCGCGUUUGAGAUAAUCGGCUAAUUACCUUUUACGUUCACUUAUUACAAUGUAUUCGCGCAUUCGUAAAAUCUCCUCGGGCUCGCGCCAAAAAAUCAUAAUUUUAGAACGGCAUCUUAAAAAUUUAUCUUCCGCACGGCACAAUUCCACAAUAAUAAAAUCACCAAUACCGGAUGUGAAUAUUCCCAAUGUAACUUUACCGGAAUUCAUUUUUGCAGAUUUUCUGAAAUAUCCCCACAAAACUGCCCUGGAAUGUAAUUUGACCGGCAAAAAGUUUACCUUCGAAGAAGUUUUAAUGAAAUCAAUAAACUUGAACAAAGCGCUCAGAAAAAAA